AUAAAUAUAUCUAAUUAAAUAAAUUAGAAAUAUUAUGUUAAUAAAAAAAGAAAUUUAAUAAUUAAAUUAAUAUUAAAAUUCACUUAAGUUAAAGAUAUCAAUAUAAAUCAAAUAAUCAUUCUAACAUCAUAAAUUAAUUAUUAUUAUUUAUUAAUCAUGAAAUUUUAAAAUUAAAACAUCAUUAUGCAUCAUAAAAUUAUAACAAUCUUAACAUCAAGAUUUCAAAAGAUAAAUCAAAACUAAUUAAAAAAAAAGAUCUUACCUCUCCUUGGCUAUCCUUUUCUCGAUAUAAUCUCUUCGAGAAGUCCUUUCCUCAAUUCUCCUAUUGUUAGGCUUAGUGAGGAAUGAGGGAAGAGCAGUCCUCUUUAUAUAGAAAAGGAUAAGAUCUCCUUGAAAGGUAAGUAAUAAUUUAUUUUUUAAUUUAAUUUAUUUUUUAAUUUAAUUUAUUUUAUUUUACUUUAACACACAAAGAGAGAAAUAUAAUAUUUAUUUCUUAUAGUUCGCACACAAAAAUAGAAUAUAAACUAUUUACUUCCUACAAAUCAAAUCACUCAUUAGGAAUUAAAUCAAUUAAUAAUUUAAUUGAUCAGUAGAAUUCGUAACUUAUCCAUAUGAUUAAGGAAAUCAAAUUUAAUCAUUUCCUUAACUAUAGUAGACAAACAUAGAAGUUAAUAAUAAAGAAAUAUAUUAUUUAUAGUAAUUAAUUUAUGUUAAGAAAAAAAUUAUCAGUGAUUACAUCUUUCUUAAAAGACUAGGUUUUUGGCUAAUGCAAUCAUCGACAUGUUAUUAAUAUUUAUUUUUUAGUUUGAUCUUGUGAAUAAUUAGCUUCAUUCAAUUGCUUCCCUAACCAUAUAAUAUGUUAUAUACAUGAUGUUGUACACAUCUAGAUAACAUAACAAUGGAUUACUUCAAUACCAAGUGAAAGUGUUGUCACUUAUAUAAAAAAUAAAGCUAGUUGUACUUUUUUAAUCUUCUAGAGCUUUAAUCCAAUCUUUAUCAAAAUAACCAAUAUGUCAGAAAUUAUUAGAAAAUAAAUAUAGUAGACCAUAAAUUAUAGUGUCUUUGAUGUAUUGUAAAAUUCUUCUAGUAGACUUCAUGUGUGUCAACUUUAGUUCUUCUAUAAAUUAACUUACUAAUCCAGUUCCAUAUAGAAUAUUCGAUCUUAUGCAAGUUAGGUAUCUCAAGCUUCGUACUAAGCUUUUGAAAUAGGUUAGAUCACUUGUAUCACUAUCAUCAUGUCUUGAAUGUUUGAUACCAUAUUCAACCGGUGUGCCAAUCAAUUUAUAAUCUUCCAUCUUGAAUUUUUUAAGAACCUCUUUUGCAUAUUCUUCUUAUGAAAUAAAGAUAUAUUCUUUACUUUAUUUAACUUCAAUACUAAGGAAAUAAGAUAUAAGCCCAAUGCUGAUCAUUUCAAAUUCUUGGUUUAUUAUUUAUUUGAGUUCUUCAAAUGUAAGUGAGUUGCUUCUUAUAAAGAUAAGAUCAUCUACAUAUAAGCAAAAAAAUAAGAUAUCUCUAGUUUUGUUUAUCUUCUUACAAAAGAUACUUUCAUAAGAAUAUUGUUCAUAACCAUCUUAACUUAAAGUAGGCAUCAAUUUUAGCAUUACAGGUUCUAGGUGCUUACUUUAACCUAUACAAAGUUUUUUUUUUUUUAACUUAAGAACUUUCUUUUCAUACCUCUUUUUAAUAUAACUCAAUAAUUAUUUUCUAUAUACUUUUUCUUCAAGAAAAUCAUUCAAAAAUAUAGAUUUAACAUUCAUUUGAUAAAUUGAUUAAUUAUUUUGUGCCACAAGGAAUAUAAUCAAUCUAAUGGUCUCCAUUUGGAUAAUAAGGAAAAAUAAUUCAUCAUAGUCAAUGUCAAAUUUUUGCAUGUAACCCUUUGCCACUAAUCUAUCUUUAUACUUUUCAACUUGAUCUUGUGUAUUUUUCUUGAUUUUGUAAACCUAUUUCACACCAAUAAAAUUUUGUCCUUGAGGCAAUGAUGCUAGCUCCCAAGUUUUGUUUCUCAUGAUAGCAUUGAUCUCUUCAUCCAUAGUAUCCUUUCACCUUUUGUCUUUCAUGACAUCUUUUUAUUGAAGCAGUUUAUUAUCUAUAAGAAAAUAAACAAGAUGUAAUUCAUCUGUGUCCGUAUAUAAAUCUCUUAGACAUCUUAUUCUUUGAAGUACUAGAUUUUUGCUCAUCUUCAUGCAACUCUUCAAUGUUUUUCUCUUAAUUCCAUACACAUUUUUCAUUGAACUCCACAUCUCUACUUAUAACAAUUUUUUAAUUGUUUGGAUCAAAUAAUUUGUAGGCCUUGGAUUUAACAUCAUGCCUAAUGAAGAUGAGUACGGAGCUCUUAUCCUCCAACUUAGUUCUUUUAUUAGGUACAUGUGCAUAACCAAUCCACAAAAUAUCUUAAUAUAUAAAAUUUUUAAUUUUCUUUUGGUCCAUAUCUCUUAUGGAGUUUUAUUUUCUAAGCUCAAUGUAAGGCAUUGAUUUAUGAUAUAGACGACAUAAGCUUUUAUUUUGGCCCAAAAUUUUUUAGACAUAUUUUUUGUCUUAAUCAUGCUUCUCACUAUAUUAAGAAUUAUCUAGUUUUUUCUCUUUGUCAUACUAUUUUGUUGUAAAGAAUAUGAUGUUAUGAGCGAAUAUCUAAUGUUAUGCUUAUCACAAAAAUCUUCAAAUGCUUUGGUUAUGAAUUUACCACCUCAAUCAAAGUAGAUGGUUUUGAUGUAGAAGUUACCUUCAUUCUCCAUAAAAAUUUUAAACUUCUUGAACAUGCAUAAAACCUUCCCCUUUUUCUUUCAAAAAAUAAACUUAGUUUUUUUGUAUAAACAUUAAUAAAAGUUCAAAUAUAAUACUGCUUACCAAUUGGAGCAAUAGUCAUAAACAUCAACAUAAAUAAGUUGAAGUGACUUCUUUACUCUAAAAUGUCUCAUGUGCAAAAUUUUAUUUUGGUGUAAUACACCUUUUAUAUAUUUGACUUGGGUGUUGUAUAUAGAGAAGAUCAUUUAUCAUCUUCUUUAUUGAUAGCAUGUUGAGAUCUUUGAAGUUCUAAGUGUCUAAGCCUCAAGUAUCAUAUUCACGAGGAGUCCUUCACACCAGUCUUUAAACACUAUGUCACAUCAUAAUUUAUGAUUAAGAUAAAUAGUCUAUUUUUGACAUAUCUACUUGAGCAAUUAAACGAUUUGUGUUGAUUUUAAUAAAUAGUUAUUUGUCUUUCAUAUUAAUAUCAAACUAAGAAUAUUAUUCUUCAUAUCUUACAUAUAAUAAAUAUUUUUAAAAAAUUAAUAACUUUCAUAUUUGAGGUGGAUCAAUAUGUUACCUUUGUCUUUCAUCAGUACUUUUGAGAAAUUACUAAAGUAGACUUAUCCAUUCAUAAUUUCAUCCUAACUCCAUGAACAGAGAUUUUAUAACCAUGCAUAUGAUUGCUAGCACUAGUAUCCAAAUACCAUUUGUAUUGCAUGACGAUAUAUAUUUUUUAUGUACUAGAAAUAAAAAAGAAUCUUCCUCCUUUUCAACAUAGUAUUUUCUUCAACUUGAUUGCAUUGGUUAUAAUGACCAUAUUUUUUGCAAGAAUGGUAUUGAACUUUGGAACAAUUAUACCUUUGGCCUCUUAUAUUUUCUCUAUCUUGUUCUUGUUUUGGACUUUGACUUUUUUAUUAUUUCUUCCUUUCCCUUCUAUGGUAUGUCCUAUACCAUGAACACAACCUCUUCCACGUUCUCAACCUGUUUGAUGAUCACAAUCACUUGACCCUUUAUUUUUUUCUUUCAAAGUUAGUUUUAUUUGGAGAAUUAAUUCCAUUACAUCUUGUUUCUUUUUAUUGGCUAUAUGUUUAUGUGCUUGUAAAGAACCUAUUAGUUCAUCAAUAGUUAUUUGGUCUAAAUUCUUUAGUUCUUGAAUAGAGAUUAUAAUAAAGUUAAUUUUUUUAUAUAGUGAUCGAAGUACUUUUUCGACCACACAUAUAUUUUUUAGAUUCUUACAAUUUCUUUUUAAUUGAUGGACAAUGGUAAGAACUCUUGUAAAAUAAUUCAAAAUUGUCUCAAAUUCAUUCAUUUGUAAUAUUUCAAAUUUAGCUCAAUUGAUUGAAAUAAAAUUUUUUUACCCUCUCAACUAUUUCAAAAAAAAAGUUUUAAAGAAUCUCUCAAAUAUUUUAAGGUGUUGUGGCUGUAACUUUUUUAAAGUUGCCUUGGUGUAACCCUUGGUAGGUGAGAAAGAGCGUUAUCUUCUUAUCUUUCUUUCUCAUGUCUUUCAAUGAAUCUUUAACUCACUGUAAGAAUGAUACUAUUUCGAGGUUCCUCAUAGUCUCUCUCUAUCACCUCUCAAAUAUUUUGUGAUCCAAACAAGACCUUCAUCUAGAUGCUCUAAUCUUCAUAGGUGUCUUUUGUAAGGCAAAGCAUUUGAAGUUGCAUGUUAUUAGUCAUUUUGACUUGUUUUUGACACUACCUUAAUAGGAAAAAAAAAAGAUAAGAUAAAGAGAGUUAGAGAGGAAGAAUCGAGGGAUGAAACAAGAGGUAAAACUAACAUUUUUAUUUCUUGUAGAUAAGUCUCUAUACUUUUAUUUUCUCACUUUUUUUCAUGACAAAACUCAUCCAUUUAUAGACCAGUAAUAAGAGUUACAAACUCAAUUGUUAAGGCUAUAUUCAUAUGGCUUCAAUAUAUGUAAUCUAUUUAAUUUACAAGUGAUUAUUAUUUUUAUAAUCUUCUCUUUCAUGGCAAUCUUUAUUAUGAUGUAGCUAGCCUCUUCAUUCUCACUAAAUUUUAGAGGUCAUAAUUAUUUUUUCCUAUGUGAUCAUAAGAGAGGUUUCAAUUCUCUCUUUUAAAAGUUUAAUUCUGAUGCCUAUUCGGAGGAAUGACCUUGAUAUAUGAAAAGUGAUCAAAGCAAAUGUAGUCAAUCAGAUGCACCAAUUGAGGUGGCGAUGAGAGCUACCAAGAUGAAAGAUGCUUAGGAGUAGAAGAAGAAUAACGAGGAGGAAACAAAAUAACAAGAAAAUGAGAUUGUGUUGAAGCAAGAUUUUUUAGGUUUAAACUUCAUCAAAAUUGAAGAUUCAUAAAUUUGGAGCCUAUGUUGAUUUACAUUUUGUUGGUUCCCGACUUACAGUUGAGCUCAACCAAGUUAUCAACUAAACAGUUUGAAAAGUAAGGUAUGAGUUCAUCCAACUAUACAUUAUAUGAAUACACACUAUUUUGUUAGAUAUAUGCUUCUCAAUUUGAUUAUAAAUGAACCAACUAUAACUUUGAAAGAUGUCAAUUGGUAACCUAUAGAUGCAUAAUUAUUUUUAUUAAUAAUUACAAUGUUAUGUUAAUUCAUGAUAAUCAACUUCUCAAGUUUUUUUUAAAUAUUAUUUUAUCGAUAUAUAUUUAUAUAUGAGAUCCGAAGUAGGUGAAUCUGAACACAAUCCUGGGAUUAGGANNNNNNNNNNNNNNNNNNNNAGGCCAGGGAAUUACGAUUGUUUCGCAUAUAGUUCUGAUUCAGUUGGUCGUUUCUUGACAGGAGAAUUGGAUUGCACGAUUUCUUGGCGAAGCCCGGAGGAGGAUGAUCGCUCGUCGGCCGUCUUGGCGAAGCCCUCCGUUGCUCCGUCACCCAGCUUCGCGCCAGAAGACGCCCUUUACCCCCUCCUUCCUCGCCGACAAGAAAUCGGUGCGUUUCUUUUUCCCCUUCCAUUUUGAUCCUUCGAUGCAAUAGCUUUAGGGUUUCGAUCUUAGUAGAGCUUAGUAUGUCUAGGAUUAGCUUGACUCAGAAUCAAUUAGUCCAACUGUAAACCCCUAACAAUUUUAAAUUUCAAAUAAUUCUAAAAAUAAUUAGGAAUCAGAAAUAUUUCAUCCCUUUUUUAUUUGAUUUGGAUUAUUAGAUCUUCCCUAGAGCAGAUUUAAACCUAAACUCAAUCUUCUAAAUUAGAAAAUAGAUAAGAUUUGAUUAAUUAACAAUAAUUUUAAAAUUAUGAUAACUAAAGUCAUAAAUCUAUUGAACCCCUUCCCGUAGCCUUCUCUAUUCAUGAUAGUAGCGUGAGACGCUAGUUCUAGUGGAAAGACACGAGACAAUUAUCAGAGAGAUAGGCUCUUGGACUUUUUCAUUUUUUAAUAACAUGUAAAUUUUAUAUUUUUCAUGAUUAAAGGAUGCAUAAACCAGUUUAUAAUUAUUUUUCAAUCGUUACAUUAGAUCUGUCCACAUGAAAAUCUUAUUUAAUCAUGAUUAGAAGUUUUGGUUCUAAUGAUUUGACAUUUUUAUUCUAUUCUCCAUUUUUUAUAAAUACUUCCUAGCUUUUUAAAUAGAAUUUUCAUGAGUUAUAUAUAUUUUUACAUGAAUUGUUACACUUUCGAUUCAUAAAAGCAGCUUUUAAUUUUUGUUUGAUUAUGUUUUAAUUUAAAUAAAUUGUACUACAUGAUUAGAACAUUAGUAUGUUGAUUUUGUAAUUUUUAAAAAUAAGAAUUAUUUUAAAUUCUAAGUAUAUUUAUGAAAACAAAAUAAAAAAUCAGAAUUAAAAUAGGAGUUAGAUCAUCAAUCAGACUUGGUGGCUUGCAUAGUGUUUAACUUGGUUUGGGUUUUUGACCCACCUUGACUUGCAGCUCGACCCGAUGUGGUGCGGAGCUCGUGACAUGGGUCAAUCCAACCCUGUUUGGUGCAGCUUGAAUUGGCCUACCUUUUGUGGUCCAACGCUGACACCUGAUCUUGGUUUUAAAACUCGAUUCCACUUCCUAAAUUUUGUGAACCAGGACCGAACAACAUAUGAUCGAUUUUGGAAUCGGAAUCACAACCGACAAUUCCAGUUUUGAUUCGAACCAUUGAUUUUUUUUUUAUUAAAAAUAUAUUUUUAAAAAAAAGUAAAAAAAGGAUAAUUUUUAAAUUUGAUGUAUUUCAAUGCAUGUAAUGAGUCUAAUUAUAUUAAAAAUUGAUAUAAAAUUAUAAAAUCAUUAAUCGUUGCCCGCAUCGAAUGUCUGGUUAAUAUGGCAUAUAGUGGUCAUGUAGGAUAAUGACUAUUUUUUUUAUUUCUCUUAUUUUUCACUAAUAUUAAUAUCUGAUCCUACACUUUCAUGAUAAGUAAUCAAAUAAUUGUUUAAACCAUCUAUUCGAAAAUUGGGAUAAAAAACAAAAGCGACAAGGUAAAUAAGUGGAAUCAACUAAAAAAUACAUGAACAGUAGGAUAAUAAACACCAUACAAUGUAUAAGUAGCAUUAUUAAAAAUUUUUAAAAUUUCUGAAUUUUUGCACAAAUAGUCAGUCAUACAUUGUUUGCAAUAAAUAUACAUAAUAAUUUUUUUUUAUAUUUAAAAUUUUGUAUUAGACAAUUCAUAAGUUGAAUUCCAUCUAGUAGGAAUGACCACACAAAAUUUUAACGUCUUUUGCCAUUUAAUUUAUGAUUACAAGUGAUUAUAAAUAAUGAAUGGUCUAAAGUUGCGCUAAAAAAAAUGAUUUAAGCUACACCAGGGCAAUGCAUUAUUAUGAUCAUAAUAUUACCCCACCAUGGUUGUACGAAAGGAGGCUAUUAAUUAAUACUAAUCUUCUAUUGACAAGAAAAAUCAUGGAAGUUUUAACGAAACCAUUCCUAAAAUUCAUUCUCAUAGAAUACCAAUGACCAUAUAUGGCAGAUUAGUUUGAGCAAUUAAUUAUGUUUUUAUUUCCAUAUUUAUUAAUAGAUAUUUCUUGUAACAUUUUAUAAAAUUGGAGUUAUUUCUUGACAUAAAUAUAGUAUUAUUCUAAGUGAAAAAUAAUAAGAUGAUGUAUUUAAUGUAUUUAAAGCUAAAUAAAAUAGUUGAUGCAUUUUCAUAUGUUACAAGAAUAGUACAUACACAUCAGAUAUUUAAGAUAAAUCAGAAAAAACAUGUCAUUUGAAUCAAUAACAUGGAAUUAGAGUCUUGUUUAUCAUAAUAUUAUAUUGUUGAUAAGGAAUUACAGGCAUGAAUGAAGAAUAUGAAGUUAACAUUUUGUUUACCAUGAUCUUAUAUUGUUGACAAGGAAUUGCGAUGAGACAAUUGGGGAAAAGAAAAAUCAUUUAUGAAGUCUAACAAAAGUUAAUGAUAACAGUAUAUUCUAUAUUUUAGAUUCUAGGGCCCACAUUGAUCCAUGACCUAUGUGAUAUGUGAUGGUUUAUAUCGACAUAAUGACACCAAGCGUUUGCAUGCCACAUGUACAAAAAUUAAGAUCAUAAGAGAGAGAGAGAGAGAGAGAGAGAGAGAGAGAGAGAGANNNNNNNNNNNNNNNNNNNNAGAGAGAGAGAGAUAUGGAUGAAACAUUAAACUUUUGACAAACUUUGAUAAUGACAAGUUACAUAAAAUAGGUGUAAUCAAAUAGUUAGUUAGAUUUAUAAAAGGUAAAAGAUAGAGAAAAAGAAAAUGAUUAUCAAUAUCUCAACUAUCCCAAUAACUUGAUGAGCUCAGAAAAGCAUGAAAAGAGAAUAUUUAGAUCUGAAUUGAUGAUAGUAAAUUCAUCGAAUUGUAUAUACAAUUACAUUCAUUGAAUUCUAUAUACAAUUACAUUCAUUGAAUUCUAUAUACAAUUACAUUCAUUGAAUUCUAUAUACAAUUACAUUCAUCCUCUCAUUUCUAAUGUAAGAUUUACUGUGGAAUUGAAUAAGGAAGUAGAGACACUUGAAACCGUCAACUAUAAGCUUUUUUUUUUUUUUCUUUUAGCUAAUAGCCCUUUCAAAACCCUCAAUUUUAGUUUCUUUGUUUGGGACAAAAGCUUUGAAUCAUUAUUAUCCUUUGGAUACGUUUGGACAUGUUGACGAGGUUAGUUUAGAAGGGGUAAUCCAAUUUUGCUCUCCCUUUUCAUUUAUGUUAUUCAAUUGAAGAAAUAUGAAAUCAUAUGCUUAUCUUUAUUCUUAACAAAAUGAUUCCCUUUGACUAUCUAUAAUAUAUAACAACCUUUUUAAUCUGAAUUUGUUUUAAAAUUAUGUGUUUCCAAAAUUUUCUUAGGCCAUAUUUUUCUAAAGAAGUUACUUGUACUCUCAUUAGAAAGAGGGGGGAGAUCACAUUUGUUAACGUUGUUGGGGUUAACAAAAUCAAAUGCUAUCAAACUACUUAUAAAUUUCAACUUAUAUCUUUCUAAAAUUUCCCUUCAAAAUAAAGUCUUAAAACUUUUUUUUCUUAACUUUUAUAUACCAUAUAAUUGUAGAUUUUUUCGAAGUUCAUAUAAAUUGCACCAAAACAAAGUCACAAUUUAAGGAUAACCAAUUUAGUUGUUAAUUAAUUACAUUAAUUCUUCUGAUCUUUUUUUUUGAAUGUUUGAUUAAGCUUAAUUAUGAGUUCAUUAGUUUAAAGUUUAAAGUUAUUCACCUUUUUAUUAGAACAUCAAUUAUAUUUAAUGGAAAAAAUUGUUCAAAAUCAUUUUCAAAUUAUUUCUACUCGUAUAAUGAAUUGUUUCUAAACCAAAAUUAGGAAAAUAAUUUAUGUGACGGACAUGAAGAGAUAAAAAGUUAAAUACAAAUGGAUAAUACUUUUUUCCUGUAAAAGUUUAUGUGGUUGAGAUAGAAAUUUUUUAGAUGAAUGUUUCGAUAAAAAAAUAUUUUUAUUUAUGAAUAAUUAUAUAUAACUUUGAUAGAGUAUAAAAUGAGGAAGAAUUACUUAAUUUGGUAUAAAAAUGUUUAAAUCAGGCUAUAAGUUACGUUGAUAGAAAAGGCGGGUAGCAGAAGAUCAAAAAUGUAUUUUACUAAACAUAUAAAUUAAAAUUUUAAAUAUUCUUGAUAUAACUAAGGAUUCAAUGAUCAAAAAAAUUCUAUACAGAUGACCCAAAUUAGUUGGUGCAUGCUUGUUUUUUUUUUGGGUAAAAUUUGAUGUAACUAAUAGAUCGAAGAAGGUAAAAAAAAUGUUUUAUUAAAAUUUAUAAGUAAUCUUGAUACAACUAAAGUUAUUGCUUUAUAUGGAGUUCAAUAAACAAAAAAUUUCAUAUAGUUGAACAAAUUUGUUGAGAUGGCUUGUUGUUUUUCUUUUGGUUUUUGAAAAACUUGAUCCAUUUUUAUACCUAAAGGAUCAUUUUGAUAUUUCAAAAUAUAAUACCCUAAAACCAUUUUUAAAAUAAACAUGAUUAUUUUCAAAGGCCACCACCACACAAAUAGGCUAGAAAGGCAUAACUAAGUAUGUAAUAGGUUGUUGUGCCACAAGAUUAUUACCUCUAGUGUUUUAUCCAUAUCAUUUCUUUCUCAAAGAUUUCAAACUUUGUUAAAGAAGAUAUUCAUUAAUGGCAGUAGACCAACUACUUCAUCCACAUUGAUUAUAUGAACAAAAUAGUUGCAUUUAUGAACAUGAAGCGAUUAUUCACUAUGUAUAUACAUGCAUGUAUAUAUUUAUAUAUGUAUAUAUGUAUAUAUAUACAUAUAUACAUAGAUACAUACAUAUAUAUAUAUAUACAUAUAUAUAUAUAUAUAAUCAUCAAUUAACUGUGUUAGAUAGAAUUCCUCUAAUAUAUUGAUAAGGGAAAAUAGAUGAGGUAGACCCUAAAUUUUGAGUUAAACGUUGCUCCCAAAUGUUUAGAUAAAAAACUAAUUAAAUGACACUUAUGUUCAAGAAUGAAAGUACUAAAAAAGAGUAAUAAUUUCAAUAAGUAACAUCCAAGGAGCCCAAAUGAUUGAAACAUAGCUUUUGAAUCUGAUUAAUUUUGUUUUGACUGACUUGUAAUUCAAUACAUUGAUCAAUUUAUGACAAAUUACAAAGGAAUAAACAGUUCAUAAUAUGGUCUCACAGCACCCAAGAUCUUUAAUGGGAUUCAAAGUAUGAUUAAGAUGUCAUUACAAAAUAAAAAUUCAUCAGAAUAAUAAAUUUGAAAUUAAAAAAGGAUGCGUAUAACCAAAAUAGAGCAAUUAGAAGAAAAAAAAAAAAAAAGGAAGAAAAGGUAUAUGCUCAUCCACAC
rnacentral:lncRNA from 1 species